rnacentral:rRNA from 1 species
CCUACGGGUGGCUGCAGUGGGGAAUAUUGGACAAUGGGGGGAACCCUGAUCCAGCCAUGCCGCGUGUGUGAAGAAGGCCCUCGGGUUGUAAAGCACUUUCAGUGAGGAAGAACGCCUGGUGGUUAAUACCCAUCAGGAAAGACAUCACUCACAGAAGAAGCACCGGCUAACUCCGUGCCAGCAGCCGCGGUAAUACGGAGGGUGCGAGCGUUAAUCGGAAUUACUGGGCGUAAAGCGUGCGUAGGUGGCUUGAUAAGCCGGUUGUGAAAGCCCCGGGCUCAACCUGGGAACGGCAUCCGGAACUGUCAAGCUAGAGUGCAGGAGAGGAAGGUAGAAUUCCCAGUGUAGCGGUGAAAUGCGUAGAGAUCGGGAGGAAUACCAGUGGCGAAGGCGGCCUUCUGGACUGACACUGACACUGAGGUGCGAAAGCGUGGGUAGCAAACAGGAUUAGAUACCCUGGUAGUC